GCAUCAAGUGCUCUAAUCUUUGAAACAUUAGAGUAGUAAUUAAUAGAUUAGACGUGGUGUUUAGUAUUGCAAUUACCUGGAAUUGCACCCAAUCCUGCGGAUUGUUGUGGUAGCCCUAGCGUAGUGACAGCCCCUUCGGUCGACGUAUUCCACCACGUUCGGAUGGGUGUUUGUAGGACCGUAGUCGGAGCUUCCUAGCCCCCUUCUCAUCUUUUUCCGUGGUUAGUGCUCUUAUGUCCCGAUAUAGAUAAUCUUGAAGUAAUUCUUGAUUCUUAGAUCAACUAGAGAACUCUUAGGAAACUUCCUCUCUUCCCACC
rnacentral:lncRNA from 1 species